rnacentral:lncRNA from 1 species
CUUUCGUUAGACAACAAAUGGAUCAUCUGAUUGAUAUCUCAGUAUUAGGAAAUCAUUAUCAGGCUCCAGAAAAUGAUUUUCUGUUACAGAACUGGGAUUAUUUAUUUAUUUCGGUACCAAUGAAUGUAUUUUUCACUCAAUGGAGAUUUUCCAUUUUUGGCCCACAGCAAUAUCCGGAGAGAGAGCGAGAGAUUCCUAUAGAAUACAAGACAAGACUAUCACAAUGAGCUGAAAUAUUGUGUCUGUGAAAGUAAUGAGAAGCACAGUGGAGACAAGUUUCUGAAGGAUGGAAGAGGCUGGAGGCUGUCUGGUGGGAAAAGGUUCCCAGACACGUGAGAGACCCAGCAACAGGUAAGAGAAUAAGUUGGUAAAGAAGAGACACAGUGGAAGGGUGAUUUAUUUAAAUGUAAAAUGCUAUCUGUUAGGUAUUAUAAAAAAAAUCUAUACUAUAUCCCUUAUGAAAUCCUCAGUGAAAACUCAGUUUCAUUUUGUUUAAUGAGGAUAAGUGCUAAGGGCUUUUCUAAGGGUUGGGUGUGAUGACCACAAGGGCUACUUCCCAGGAGAAAGUUAUGUUGCAUUUCUGUGCUGGGCCCAAGGUAGUGAUCACCAGAUGGGGGUUGUAUACCUUCAGUUCUCCCUUCAAUUUCCAGCAAUCUCCCCUGGAGCCCCUCACAGCCUGUCAUCAGCCAAGUGAAUUACUUCCUUCCCUAUCAGUGCUGACACAUUAACUUUGGGGAAAUCUCAGUGCAGGAAUCUCUAGCCAAAUCUUAAGGAACACCACGGCUGGCAAAACUGCAACUGAUAAAAUAAAUUUCAUAGCAAAUAUAGGAUUAGGGGGAAAACAAUGAAAGUGGCAUUGAAUGUAUGAAUGUCAAAAAUAAAAAUUGGCAUUGAAUACAUGAGUGUCAAAAAUAAAUAAAAAUUGUACAAAAGCUCCAUUCCCUCAAAGCAAAUUUCUCAUCUUUCUGAAUCUGCUCAGGUAAGUAAAUGUGUACCUGCAUCACACUGUUUAGCUGUUCGGGUGAUGUUGCUGCUGGACGUUAAGAAGUUCACAUAUCUGAAAUUAAAUAUCUUUAUAACUUGAAUUGCCUCAUUUCAUUCUUUCUUUGGAUUGAGCAGUGGCAUGGGUUAGUGCUUAAGUGCCCAGAUACCUAAGUUUUAAGACAGUUUGAAGCUCAGCUCUGCAAUGUAUGAUUCCCAUGAUCCAAGAAGGAUGAAAUAACCUCUCCUUACAUCAUCUGUAAAUGCAGAUUAAAAUCAUCCUAACCUGACAGAGGACCCAAUGAAUCAAUGUAAGUAAAGGGUUUAGUCCAGUUGCUAGUACAGGGGAAGCACAGUGUGUUUACUCUCUUCUUGCUUCAUUUUCAGAAGAUAGACAGGGUGUUAGUGCCGCCACUGGCCUGUCACAAGUCAUCUCACUGGUCAACAGUUAUUUUGGGGGCCUGAUGUCCUUCCACUCACAAAGAGGAUGGUGUGUAAACAAUCUCUUUUGGCGUGACUCCAGGACUGGUCCAGUGGCUUUUAACACACAAAACCCUCCUCUUUAGUGAGGAAGGAAUCAGCCCAAGACUCAGGAUUGGCAAAUUGUGAGUUUUGAUACUGAUAUGUAACUCAUUCUUAAUUAUUCAUCCACAUGCGUUGUAGUGCCAUCUCUGGAAACUGACAACCCCUGAGAUUCUAAUAGGAAAGAUUUCUAGUGCCAGGAAGAGUAAUGGCCCUAAAUUAACAUGACCUAAGGACACGAGCA